AAUCAUCUUAGUAGGUUGAGGAAAAGAGAAUAAACAAUGAUUCCGAAAGUAGUGGCGAGCGAAAUUGGAACAGCCCAAACCUUAACAUAACCAUACGGUUUAACGGCCAGAGUUAUGAAAGGGGUUGUGAAAUUAGAUAAUUUUUAUGUAUAGCGGUUGAUUACAUCGAAGCCUACUCACUUUUAAGGAACAUAUGCAUGGCCAAGUGGCCACAAGCGUGUCCGAAAAAGUGAGUAGGCUUUUGAUACGACGGUUAUACAUAAAAACCAACAUCGUUAAAUGAGUGGAUAAUGAUAAAAUCCUUUAGAUCAUAGCAGAAGUGUUUGAAUGGCACACCAUAGAAGGUGAGAGUCCUGUACGCGAAAUGGUCUUAGGCAUUAUAUAUCUUUUUUCAAGUAGGACGGGGCACGAGAAACCCUGUUUGAAUCCGGCAGGACCACCUGCCAAGGCUAAAUAUAUUGAUUGAUCGAUAGCGAACUAGUACAGUGAUGGAAAGGUGAAAAGAACCCCGGGAGGGGAGUGAAAUAGAUCCUGAAAUUUAGUGCCUACAAGGAGUCGGAGCCGGCUUGUCCGGUGACGGCGUGCUUUUUGUAGAACGAUCCAGCGAGUUAAUUUCGUGCGCAAGGUUAAGCCAGUUGGCGGAGCCACAGUGAAAGCGAGCCUGAAUAGGGCGAUUAAGUGUACGGGAUUAGACCCGAAACCGGGUGACCUAACCAUGAGCAGGUUGAAGCCACUGUAACAGGUGGUGGAGGACCGAACCAGGAUACGCAGCAAAGUGUUUGGAUGACUUGUGGUUAGCGGUGAAAUGCCAAUCGAACUCGGAGAUAGCUGGUUCUCCUCGAAACAGUUUUAGGACUGGCGUCAUGUGGUAGCAGUCGGGGGUAGAGCUCUGUAAAGGACUGGGGGGAGCAAUCCUACCCACCCUUAACAAACUACGAAUACCGGCUGUGGAAUCAUGGCAGUUAGAACGGCGGAGCUAAGUUCGUCGCUCAAAAGGGAAACAGCCCAGACCAUCGUCUAAGGUCCCUAAAUUUACGUUAAGUGGGAAACAAGGUGAGAUUUCUUAAACAGCUAGGAUGUUGGCUUAGAAGCAGCCAUUCAUUUAAAGAGUGCGUAACAGCUCACUAGUCAAGAGAUUUUGCGUGGAAAAUGUAACGGGGCUAAAGUGUUAAACCGAAGACAUGGACUUCUGCCUAUGCAGGAGUGGUAGAGGAGCGUUGAUAUCGCAGUGAAGUCAGAUUGGAAAGUCUGGUGGAGCGUUAUCAAGUGAGAAUGCUGGAAUUAGUAACCUUAAGACAGGUGAGAAUCCUGUCGGUCGUAAGAGCAAGGUUUCCAGGGCUACAGUAAUUGCCCCUGGGUUAGUCGGUCCUAAGCCGAGGCGUAUCAGCGUAGGCGAUGGACAACAGGUUAAUAUUCCUGUACAGGUAGUAGUUGUGAACAGUUCACGGUGAAUGACUGGAGCGGAUUAAUGGUUUAUCCGUCCAAGUCUUUAGGGAACUAAAGAUGAGUGAAAGGUAAUCUUCGGAUUAUUGAUUCUGGGUGAAGCACUGGCUAGAAAAGCUGGUUCACUUAUGCUGCUGCCUACCGUACCGCAAACCAACACCGGUGCUCGGGUCGAGUAGACCAAGACCUACGUGAGAACCUUCGCUAAGGAACUCGGCAAAAAAGCGUCCGUAACUUCGGAAUAAGGACUGCCCUCUCAUUAAGAUGAGGAUUUGCUAGAAACUCAGCAGAAGAUUCAGAUUACCUUUUAACUGAAUUUUUCGUUGAGACAGAACACAAAACAGGAUUUGUUUAACAAAUUCGUGUCUUUUCUAGUAGUCUAAUCGUCAUUUUGAUGAGAGGGCCGCAGCUAAAGAGCCCACGGAACUGUUUACCAAAAACAUAGGUCUCUGCUAACGCGAAAGCGGAUGUAUAGGGGCUGACUCCUGCCCGGUGUCGGAAGGUUAAGGGGAGAGCUUUACGGUUCGAACUGAAGCCCCGAUGAACGGCGGCGAUAACUAUGAUCGUCCUAAGGUAGCGAAAUUCCUUGUCAGGUAAGUUCUGACCCGCACGAAUGGAG
rnacentral:rRNA from 1 species